GACGAACGCUGGCGGCGUGCCUAAUACAUGCAAGUAGAACGCACAGUUUAUACCGUAGCUUGCUACACCAUAGACUGUGAGUUGCGAACGGGUGAGUAACGCGUAGGUAACCUGCCUGGUAGCGGGGGAUAACUAUUGGAAACGAUAGCUAAUACCGCAUAAUAUUGAUUAUUGCAUGAUAAUUAAUUGAAAGGUGCAAUUGCACCACUACCAGAUGGACCUGCGUUGUAUUAGCUAGUAGGUGAGGUAACGGCUCACCUAGGCGACGAUACAUAGCCGACCUGAGAGGGUGAUCGGCCACACUGGGACUGAGACACGGCCCAGACUCCUACGGGAGGCAGCAGUAGGGAAUCUUCGGCAAUGGACGAAAGUCUGACCGAGCAACGCCGCGUGAGUGAAGAAGGUUUUCGGAUCGUAAAGCUCUGUUGUAAGAGAAGAACGGGUGUGGGAGUGGAAAGUUCACACUGUGACGGUAUCUUACCAGAAAGGGACGGCUAACUACGUG
rnacentral:rRNA from 1 species